rnacentral:rRNA from 1 species
GACGAACGCUGGCGGCGUGCUUAACACAUGCAAGUCGAACGAUGAAACCUAGCUUGCUAGGUCGAUUAGUGGCGAACGGGUGAGCAACACGUGACUAACCUGCCCCUUUCUCUGGGAUAACGCUCCGAAAGGAGUGCUAAUACCGGAUACUCACAUCGAGGCACAUGCCUUGGUGUGGAAAGUUUUUCGGAAAGGGAUGGAGUCGCGGCCUAUCAGCUUGUUGGUGAGGUAACGGCUCACCAAGGCGACGACGGGUAGCCGGCCUGAGAGGGCGACCGGCCACACUGGGACUGAGACACGGCCCAGACUCCUACGGGAGGCAGCAGUGGGGAAUAUUGCACAAUGGGCGCAAGCCUGAUGCAGCGACGCCGCGUGAGGGAUGAAGGUCUUCGGAUUGUAGACCUCUUUCAGUAGGGACGAAGCGAAAGUGACGGUACCUAAAGAAGAAGCACCGGCUAACUACGUGCCAGCAGCCGCCGUAA